AUUCCAGCUCCAAUAGCGUAUACUAAAGUUGUUGCAGUUAAAAAGCUCGUAGUUGAAUUUCUGGUCGUGGCGAUCGGUCCGCCCCUCACGGGGUGUGCACCUGGUCUCUACGUCCAUCCUCGGGGAGAGCGCGCCUGGCAUUCAGUUGUCGGGCGUGGGAUCCUCGUCAUUUACUGUGAGCAAAAUAGAGUGUUCAAAGCAGGCUUAGGCCGUUGAAUACAUUAGCAUGGAAUAAUAAGAUAGGACCUUGGUCUAUUUUGUUGGUUUCGAACACCGGAGUAAUGAUUAACAGGGACAGUCAGGGGCACUCGUAUUCCGCCGAGAGAGGUGAAAUUCUCAGACCAGCGGAAGACGAACCACUGCGAAAGCAUUUGCCAGGGGUGUUUUCAUCG
rnacentral:rRNA from 1 species